CUCUCCGGUAAUGACUCUGCAGCGGAAACCACGGCAGGGACUAAGUUGAUUAAAAUUUAUAAAGUUUAGGGACUAAAUAGAGGCAAUUGAAACGUCAAGGACCAAAUUGAGGCUCGAGUGUAACUUCAGGGACCAAACUGAGUAUUUUCUCAACAAAAACAUAUAAAAAAAAUCAAUGGUUCUUCAUCUUUUCCACUUCUAAAGCAAAGUAAAACAUAUCAAAAAAAAAAAAUCAAUUGCUCUUCAUCUUCUCCAAUUUUCCUAAUCAUUUGUGUUACCCUCUGAAGCAAAGCAAUGAAAAUCUCAAAUCAAAAUGGCAAAAUCCUAGCCCUAGGUUCUUUGCCGCCGGCGUCCCAGGCUCGGCGCUUCCGCUUCUUCCUCUUCCCUCUGUCCAGAACCCAGGUAGCUCGGCACGUCGUCCCCAUCCUCGCUGGCUUCUCUGUCUGUGGCCAGGAAAAAAGAAGGAAUCGAAGUCCAAUCGCAAGUUAGAUAAAAAAGUUCAAUUUUACUCUAAGGUGAAAGAUGCUGUGUCUUGCUUGAGUGCUCAAAAGUCUAUUAUUACUAAGGUAGUGAUCUUAUUUCAAAUGGCAUUGUUCUUAAGAUGGAUUAUAGAAAUCCUUCAUUGUGGUUGCAAUAGGUUUGAUGGCUAAGUACAUCUAACUAGCCAUUAUGAUCAUAAAACUCGAAAUUCGAAGAAUGUGCAUAUUUCAUUAGUACCAAAUCCUAGUCACUUAGAAGCAGUGGAUCCUGUGGUAGAAGGAAAAACUAGAGCUAAACAAUAUGUUUCAAAUGAUUCUGAAAGAAUCAAGAACAUUAGUAUUUUGAUUCAUGGAGAUGGUAGUUUACCAGGACAAGGUGUAGCAUAUGAAAGUUUGCGUCUAAGUGCUCAUCCAAAUUAUUCUACUCGUGGAACUGUUCAUCUAGUCCUCAACAAUCAAGGGAAUGAUAUGUGUGGUGACUUGUGAAUGUAUCUGUUGCCUAUGUAUGAAUUUAUAUUCUUUUGGUGAUUGAAAUUUUGUUCUUUUAUACAAUCUAGUAUUCUGUUUUUACUAUUUUAGUUGUGUGCUGGAUAUGGGGCUUGUGUGUGGUUAAUAAAUAAUAAUUGGUCUUGCAAAUGUUUAUGUUUCCUUGCCAUAUGCUAAAUACUUUAGUUGGUUUAUGAAUCUACUUGUGUGUCUUUCACUGAUCUAUUAUCUUUCACUCAGUAGAUCACUAUUGCCUACAGGUCGAGGUUUUGUGGUUUUCCAUGCCAAAUUUGCAGACAACUAUAAACUUUACUCACGGAGCCACUUUGUCCACUUAUUCCCAAAGGGAAUUUUUGUGAAACCCCCUAUUUUGUUCUCGUUUUCCUUUGUUAUUUGUAAAGUAUUCAUUAUCAUCUUCUAAUGUUUCUUUCCACCUUAGUAGACCUCUCCUAUGGUUCUUUUGGGUAGCUAUGUUUUAUUACUUUCUUGUCUUCUUUUUUACUUAUAUUUUCAGCAAAAGCUGUCUAAACGAGAAGUUGGAACCAUAGAUAGAAGUCGGGAUGUUGCUCAAUUACAAGAGUUCUAUAAGCUUUAUAGAGAGAAGAAUAAUGUAGAGAAAUUGCACGAGGAAGAGAUGAAGUUGAGGGAAUCUGGUGCUUUCAGCCGGGAUCUUGGUGAGUAUGUUUUUUGUCCAAGUAGAUAGACAUAACACUGAUUUGGAUAAUCUUGUGCUUUCUCUUUGCCCUCCGUUGAGCGUGGGCAUGUCAUAGAUGAUACAUCAUUGAACCUGUCAUUAUCCCAAGAUCAGCUGUUCAGUUCAUUGAAACUGUCUGCUAUAGUACUUUAUUAUAUGUGAAGAAUGGUUUUACUCUUUCUUGCCAA